rnacentral:snRNA from 1 species
UUACUUGAUUCUGCAGUAUAUAUACGAAAAUUGGAACGAUACAGAGAAGAUUAGCACGGUCCCUGCGCAAGGAUAACAUGAAAAAUCGUGAAGUCUACCACAUCACA